rnacentral:rRNA from 1 species
AUUGAACGCUGGCGGCAGGCCUAACACAUGCAAGUCGAACGAGUGGCGGACGGGUGAGUAAUGUCUGGGAAACUGCCCGAUGGAGGGGGAUAACUACUGGAAACGGUAGCUAAUACCGCAUACCAUCGGAUGUGCCCAGAUGGGAUUAGCUAGUAGGUGGGGUAAAGGCUCACCUAGGCGACGAUCCCUAGCUGGUCUGAGAGGAUGACCGUCCACACUGGAACUGGAACCCGUUCCAGACUCUUACGGAGGGCAGCGGUGGGGAAUAUUGCACAAUGGGCGAAGCCCUGAUGCAGCCAUGCCGCGUGUAUGAAGAAGGCCUUCGGGUUGUAAAGUACUUUCAGCGAGGAGACGUUACUCGCAGAAGAAGCACCGGCUAACUCCGUGCCAGCCGCCGCGUUAAUA